GCCUGGGUGGCUCAGUCGGUUAAGCGUCUGACUUUGGCUCAGGUCAUGGGUCAAGUGUCUGACUGGCUCAGUUUGGGGGUUCAAGCCCCACGUCGGGCU
rnacentral:tRNA from 1 species